GAAAGGCUGCCUGCUAGAUGCUGGGCUUGGCACUGAGGACAGCAGGAGCAGAGAAAGCACAGCUAGCAGAGGCUACUUCCAGAGAUGGACCUGAUGCUUCGAGUCACCCUCUUGAGCCUCCUGUGCCUGCUGGCAGAGGCCCGGCCUUCAAACAGACCCCAGCAGAAUGGGAGGUGGAACCCACUGGAAGUGCCGGAGAACAGAGAGCUGUUCCUAAGUGCCCUGCAGAACUAUUUCAGCAGUAGAGGGAUCCACGUGGAGAGGACUGGACCAGCCUUCAUCCCACCGCCAAGGAAUCAUGAGCACGGGAGUUAUAGGAGGCAGGAGGAGGAAGAGCUGGAGGCUGCUGCUGCGAUGGGCGUGCACUACUAGGCUGAGCCAACAGCAGGUGAAGCCUUAUCAUGGCAACCCCCAGCCGUGGCCAUGGAGGAUCCCGUGCGGACUCAGCCUGCUGCUCUACAGCCACUGACACGCAGACACAUGCUCACACGCAUGGGCGUGCACACACAUCUAUAGGCACAUGCGCACGUGCGCUCACACACCUGCACACACAUGCGCUUACGCAUCGCAACACGCACAGACGUGUGCACACACCCCCAUCAGACGGGCAGGCGCACCCCGCGCCGUGGCCGCGACCCGGGUCAAUAAACGCCCCACGUCGCAGCCCUCAGUGUCCGUGUUCAAGUCCUUCUGCGGGGGCUUGGAAUA